GACGCACGCUGGCGGCGUGCCUAAUACAUGCAAGUCGAGCGAGCGGCGGACGGGUGAGUAACCCGUAAGGCACCUACCGAGAAGCGUGGGACAACAUCCGGAAACGGGUGCUAAUACCGCAUACUUGUCGAUGGCCUUGCGGUGCAUUAGCUCGUUGGUGGGGUAACGGCCUACCAAGGCAAUGAUGCAUAGCCGACCUGCGAGGGUAAGCGGCCACAUUGGGACUGAGACACGGCCCAAACUCCUACGGGAGGCAGCAUGAGGGAAUCUUCCGCAAUGGGCGCAAGCCUGACGGAGCAACGCCGCGGGAGUGAAGAAGGUUUUCGGAUCGUAAAGCUCUGUUGUAAGAGAAGCGGUAUCUUACCAGAAAGCCACGGCUAACUACGUGCCAGCAGCCGCGGUAAUAC
rnacentral:rRNA from 1 species